UACAGAGGUCUCAAGCGUUGUUCGGAUUCAUUGGGCGUAAAGGGUGCGUAGGUGGCGCGAUAAGUCGGGUGUGAAAUCUCGGGGCUCAACCCCGAAACUGCACUUGAUACUGCCUUGCUCGAGUACUGGAGAGGAGAUUGGAAUUUACGGUGUAGCAGUGAAAUGCGUAGAUAUCGUAAGGAAGACCAGUGGCGAAGGCGAAUCUCUGGACAGUUACUGACACUGAGGCACGAAGGCCAGGGGAGCAAACGGG
rnacentral:rRNA from 1 species